AAAUAAUAUAAUAUAAAUAAAAGAUCUAGAGAAGGUAGAUUACUGCUUACCUCACAUGUACUCCAACAAAUCCACAUAAUUUUUUGAAGCUUCUUCAAAACCUAACAUCCAAAAUUGUCUAGCCCUAGGUAAGGAAGGCUUAGGCUAAUAUUUUUGUGAACUCUCAAAUACAAUAUGACGUAGAGGAUUUCUCUUAGUACUAUAAUUAAGCCCC
rnacentral:lncRNA from 1 species